rnacentral:lncRNA from 1 species
AUGAUAGGUGAGCGACGGUGGGUUCCGGUGUUGAAAUAGACACUUUCGGGAACCCGGAUCCGAACAAUUAUUCGACGAUAAUUGUUUGGUUGUGUUACCUUGUGUUUGCUACCAAGAAAUUCAAAUUGGUGUGUUUUGUGGUAGCGGGUGACUCGUGGUAUGAGUCGGUGAGUUUCGGGACACUUAGUGGGUCCCGACGGCACCCCGGUGUGGUUUUCGGGACUUCCGGUGAGUUACGAUGAUCGGUUUUGGAAAACCGAUUACGGGGAUCUUGUGUGGGGGGUUUAUGAGUCUCGUGCUUUGGGUUAGCGGUUUGGAUACUGUCCUGGUGGAUCUUCUUAGGUCCGGUAGACUCUGUGCGUACCCAGUGUUCCGACGCGACAGUGACAGGUGAGUGCUUCAAGCUAGUAGUCGGCGAGAUCGUUUCACCCUUUCUCUGUUCUUUCAUUUAGUAUCGUAGCCUCUACAUGUCAGUUGUUUGUUUAUCGUUGUUUAUCGUAUCCCAUUGAUUGCAUUUGGAUAGUUGUGGAUAGACAUGUAGAGCAGGCUUGCAUUUGUAUAUUGCACCUCUGUGGACCUUGGGUCCAUGCAACACAUCGACUUCUUUGUCAUGUGUUUCGAUCUGGUUGAUCAUGGUUCGGCAUUGUAUGCCCUUAUUUAUGGCUUUGGCCUAGGCACCGGCUUUAGCCGGUUUUUGUUUGAGCAUACCAGCAUGACUUUGUCACAGCACUUUGGGGUAUUCAUGACACCAGAUCGGUUUGGCCGCUAAUCGGAAGUGUACUUAUCUGGAUAGGUCGUCCUGUGGGGCGGAUGGAUUAGGUCGGUGCAGAUUAGUGACAGGCAAUGCUUGAGGUCUGUGGACCGAUAUAGCAUUCUCGUAUUGUUUCUAUACAGUAGCAGUUUACUUAUUGUUUCUUAUCAUAUCUGUUAUAGCUACUGUCGUUCAUUUUCGUAUAUCAGCAUAUAUAUUCGUUUACCAUAUCUCCUUUGGUUUCCGGUGAUUACGGCUUGCCUUCGUGGCUCUGUCGUACCCAAUGGAAAACCAUGGUUGCGGUUUCUCACCCUCCAUUCCCCCAGGUGACAUGGACGAGGAGUUGAAUUUUGAGCUCGACGGGAGGACGAUCUAACUAGUCCGGUAUAGCAACCGUCACCCUAGUUACUUUCAUUUCGGCACUUAGUAGUUUUAAUAAUAAAUGGUUCAGUUAGAUGAUCAUUACUGAUAUUUGAAUGUUUGAAUGAGUUGGUUUUCCUCCUAUGCAUGAGAUUGUGGAUCUGAGAUUAGAGAUUUGCAUUCGUGAUUUUGGUUUUAUGGAUAGUUGAUUCUCGAUUUAUAUAUUUACGAAUUUAUACAUUGUGGUUUUCUACCCCUCGAGGUAGUCGAUUUUCAAAAUAGAGUUUCCGUGUGGGAAACAGUUUUCAAAAUAUUUUCGAAUUGGUUUUCGUGAAUGUUUGAAUUAGAGUUUUGAAAGCAAAGCGUCCGGUUGGGGAGCACUUUUAAUAGGAUGACUAUUGUAUUGUGCAUUGCAUCAUCCAGCGCCUAAGGAGUACUUAGAGGCAUGCAUCAUCUCUAAGGCUUGCUAGCUGUAUGGAAAUGCAUGGCAUGAUGAUUGUUGAUUGAUAAAUGUAGAUUGUGGUUGAGAUCCUGAUGUAGCUGUUGGUACGCCGUGUAAAUAUAAAGGAGACUCUGUCCGAGUGGGCAGAGGAAUUUUGUAUUUGCGGCGGAUCUGUACGUCACGUGGGCCAAGUUGGAAAAAAAAAAUGGCACGUUUUUCGCAACUCUGAUUUCAAACAUGGUAAUGGAUUUUAAAAAGGCUUUUAUAAUCGGCCCCUGGGCGUGACGGGUUUUCCAAUUUUGAGCUUUUAGGAUAAAAUUGAUGAGCGUAGAA